UAAGCGACUAAGCGUACACGGUGGAUGCCCUGGCAGUCAGAGGCGAUGAAGGACGUGCUAAUCUGCGAUAAGCGUCGGUAAGGUGAUAUGAACCGUUAUAACCGGCGAUUUCCGAAUGGGGAAACCCAGUGUGUUUCGACACACUAUCAUUAACUGAAUCCAUAGGUUAAUGAGGCGAACCGGGGGAACUGAAACAUCUAAGUACCCCGAGGAAAAGAAAUCAACCGAGAUUCCCCCAGUAGCGGCGAGCGAACGGGGAGCAGCCCAGAGCCUGAAUCAGUGUGUGUGUUAGUGGAAGCGUCUGGAAAGGCGCGCGAUACAGGGUGACAGCCCCGUACACAAAAAUGCACAUGCUGUGAGCUCGAUGAGUAGGGCGGGACACGUGGUAUCCUGUCUGAAUAUGGGGGGACCAUCCUCCAAGGCUAAAUACUCCUGACUGACCGAUAGUGAACCAGUACCGUGAGGGAAAGGCGAAAAGAACCCCGGCGAGGGGAGUGAAAAAGAACCUGAAACCGUGUACGUACAAGCAGUGGGAGCACGCUUAGGCGUGUGACUGCGUACCUUUUGUAUAAUGGGUCAGCGACUUAUAUUCUGUAGCAAGGUUAACCGAAUAGGGGAGCCGAAGGGAAACCGAGUCUUAACUGGGCGUUAAGUUGCAGGGUAUAGACCCGAAACCCGGUGAUCUAGCCAUGGGCAGGUUGAAGGUUGGGUAACACUAACUGGAGGACCGAACCGACUAAUGUUGAAAAAUUAGCGGAUGACUUGUGGCUGGGGGUGAAAGGCCAAUCAAACCGGGAGAUAGCUGGUUCUCCCCGAAAGCUAUUUAGGUAGCGCCUCGUGAAUUCAUCUCCGGGGGUAGAGCACUGUUUCGGCAAGGGGGUCAUCCCGACUUACCAACCCGAUGCAAACUGCGAAUACCGGAGAAUGUUAUCACGGGAGACACACGGCGGGUGCUAACGUCCGUCGUGAAGAGGGAAACAACCCAGACCGCCAGCUAAGGUCCCAAAGUCAUGGUUAAGUGGGAAACGAUGUGGGAAGGCCCAGACAGCCAGGAUGUUGGCUUAGAAGCAGCCAUCAUUUAAAGAAAGCGUAAUAGCUCACUGGUCGAGUCGGCCUGCGCGGAAGAUGUAACGGGGCUAAACCAUGCACCGAAGCUGCGGCAGCGACGCUGAUGCGUUGUUGGGUAGGGGAGCGUUCUGUAAGCCUGCGAAGGUGUGCUGUGAGGCAUGCUGGAGGUAUCAGAAGUGCGAAUGCUGACAUAAGUAACGAUAAAGCGGGUGAAAAGCCCGCUCGCCGGAAGACCAAGGGUUCCUGUCCAACGUUAAUCGGGGCAGGGUGAGUCGACCCCUAAGGCGAGGCCGAAAGGCGUAGUCGAUGGGAAACAGGUUAAUAUUCCUGUACUUGGUGUUACUGCGAAGGGGGGACGGAGAAGGCUAUGUUGGCCGGGCGACGGUUGUCCCGGUUUAAGCGUGUAGGCUGGUUUUCCAGGCAAAUCCGGAAAAUCAAGGCUGAGGCGUGAUGACGAGGCACUACGGUGCUGAAGCAACAAAUGCCCUGCUUCCAGGAAAAGCCUCUAAGCAUCAGGUAACAUCAAAUCGUACCCCAAACCGACACAGGUGGUCAGGUAGAGAAUACCAAGGCGCUUGAGAGAACUCGGGUGAAGGAACUAGGCAAAAUGGUGCCGUAACUUCGGGAGAAGGCACGCUGAUAUGUAGGUGAAGUCCCUCGCGGAUGGAGCUGAAAUCAGUCGAAGAUACCAGCUGGCUGCAACUGUUUAUUAAAAACACAGCACUGUGCAAACACGAAAGUGGACGUAUACGGUGUGACGCCUGCCCGGUGCCGGAAGGUUAAUUGAUGGGGUUAGCGCAAGCGAAGCUCUUGAUCGAAGCCCCGGUAAACGGCGGCCGUAACUAUAACGGUCCUAAGGUAGCGAAAUUCCUUGUCGGGUAAGUUCCGACCUGCACGAAUGGCGUAAUGAUGGCCAGGCUGUCUCCACCCGAGACUCAGUGAAAUUGAACUCGCUGUGAAGAUGCAGUGUACCCGCGGCAAGACGGAAAGACCCCGUGAACCUUUACUAUAGCUUGACACUGAACAUUGAGCCUUGAUGUGUAGGAUAGGUGGGAGGCUUUGAAGUGUGGACGCCAGUCUGCAUGGAGCCGACCUUGAAAUACCACCCUUUAAUGUUUGAUGUUCUAACGUUGACCCGUAAUCCGGGUUGCGGACAGUGUCUGGUGGGUAGUUUGACUGGGGCGGUCUCCUCCUAAAGAGUAACGGAGGAGCACGAAGGUUGGCUAAUCCUGGUCGGACAUCAGGAGGUUAGUGCAAUGGCAUAAGCCAGCUUGACUGCGAGCGUGACGGCGCGAGCAGGUGCGAAAGCAGGUCAUAGUGAUCCGGUGGUUCUGAAUGGAAGGGCCAUCGCUCAACGGAUAAAAGGUACUCCGGGGAUAACAGGCUGAUACCGCCCAAGAGUUCAUAUCGACGGCGGUGUUUGGCACCUCGAUGUCGGCUCAUCACAUCCUGGGGCUGAAGUAGGUCCCAAGGGUAUGGCUGUUCGCCAUUUAAAGUGGUACGCGAGCUGGGUUUAGAACGUCGUGAGACAGUUCGGUCCCUAUCUGCCGUGGGCGCUGGAGAACUGAGGGGGGCUGCUCCUAGUACGAGAGGACCGGAGUGGACGCAUCACUGGUGUUCGGGUUGUCAUGCCAAUGGCACUGCCCGGUAGCUAAAUGCGGAAGAGAUAAGUGCUGAAAGCAUCUAAGCACGAAACUUGCCCCGAGAUGAGUUCUCCCUGACCCUUUAAGGGUCCUGAAGGAACGUUGAAGACGACGACGUUGAUAGGCCGGGUGUGUAAGCGCAGCGAUGCGUUGAGCUAACCGGUACUAAUGAACCGUGAGGCUUAACCU
rnacentral:rRNA from 1 species